UUCUGCCCAACAGCAGGUACAGAACCUCAUGAAGAAGUGUGAGCCCUACUCCAAGAUGGUAAAGGAGUUUCAAAAACUUGAUCUCUCUUUUUCUGAAGAACCAGGAAAGGAUAAACUACCACUGGUGAUUAUAGACGGGAGUAAUGUGGCUAUGAGCCAUGGCCUGGACAUGUUCUAUUCCUGCUUUGGUAUCUCCCGGGCUGUUCAACACUUCUGGAAUAAAGGCUAUCGUAACAUCAUUGCUUGUGUGCCAAACUAUAGACGACAUUCUCCAAGCACUAUCCAUGGUCAUGAAUAUCUAGAAAAGCUGUCCGAGAGAGGCCUUGUAUCAUGGGCUCCAAGCAAAUAUUAC